GACGAACGCUGGCGGCGUGCUUAACACAUGCAAGUCGAACGGAAAGGCCCUGCUUUUGUGGGGUGCUCGAGUGGCGAACGGGUGAGUAACACGUGAGUAACCUGCCCUUGACUUUGGGAUAACUUCAGGAAACUGGGGCUAAUACCGGAUAGGAGCUCCUGCUGCAUGGUGGGGGUUGGAAAGUUUCGGCGGUUGGGGAUGGACUCGCGGCUUAUCAGCUUGUUGGUGGGGUAGUGGCUUACCAAGGCUUUGACGGGUAGCCGGCCUGUGAGGGUGACCGGCCACAUUGGGACUGAGAAACGGCCCAGACUCCUACGGGAGGCAGCAGUGGGGAAUAUUGAACAAUGGGCGGAAGCCUGAUGCAGCAACGCCGCGUGCGGGAUGACGGCCUUCGGGUUGUAAACCGCUUUCGCCUGUGACGAAGCGUGAGUGACGGUAAUGGGUAAAGAAGCACCGGCUAACUACGUG
rnacentral:rRNA from 1 species